UGAGGAAUAUUGGACAAUGGGCGCAAGCCUGAUCCAGCCAUGCCGCGUGCAGGAAGAAGCAUCUAUGGUGUGUAAACUGCUUUUGUACAGGAAGAAACAUCCCGACGUGUCGGGACUUGACGGUACUGUAAGAAUAAGGAUCGGCUAACUCCGUGCCAGCAGCCGCGGUAAUACGGAGGAUCCAAGCGUUAUCCGGAAUCAUUGGGUUUAAAGGGUCCGUAGGCGGUUUGGUAAGUCAGUGGUGAAAGCCCGCAGCUCAACUGUGGAACGGCCAUUGAUACUGCCAGACUUGAAUUACAAGGAAGUAACUAGAAUAUGUAGUGUAGCGGUGAAAUGCUUAGAUAUUACAUGGAAUACCAAUUGCGAAGGCAGGUUACUACUUGUGGAUUGACGCUGAUGGACGAAAGCGUGGGGAGCGAACAGG
rnacentral:rRNA from 1 species